AAGUCGUAACAAGGUUUCCGUGGGGGAAGAUCCUUCCUCGAAGCCUUUCCACACAGACGACUCUAAUCAAAUGUGUGCAGUCUGAUCCCGGGGGACAGGCGACGUCACUGAGGUGCCGGGAUACUUAUGUAAACCAGCAGCCACAUGUAGCCUUGCGGGCUGGGUGUGGUUCACAGAUUAGACAGUGGCGGUCCGCGUUGUUACUGCCGAUUAAGAUAUAAUCGGUCGCUCUUGCAACAGGUGAGAGUCGAGAGACGUUCCGUAGGUGAACCUGCGGAAGGAUCAUUA
rnacentral:rRNA from 1 species